rnacentral:rRNA from 1 species
UGGGGAAUUUUGGACAAUGGGCGAAAGCCUGAUCCAGCAAUGCCGCGUGUGUGAAGAAGGCCUUCGGGUUGUAAAGCACUUUUGUCCGGAAAGAAAUCCUUGACUCUAAUACAGUCGGGGGAUGACGGUACCGGAAGAAUAAGCACCGGCUAACUACGUGCCAGCAGCCGCGGUAAUACGUAGGGUGCAAGCGUUAAUCGGAAUUACUGGGCGUAAAGCGUGCGCAGGCGGUUUGCUAAGACCGAUGUGAAAUCCCCGGGCUCAACCUGGGAACUGCAUUGGUGACUGGCAGGCUAGAGUAUGGCAGAGGGGGGUAGAAUUCCACGUGUAGCAGUGAAAUGCGUAGAGAUGUGGAGGAAUACCGAUGGCGAAGGCAGCCCCCUGGGCCAAUACUGACGCUCAUGCACGAAAGCGUGGGGAGCAAACAGGAUUAGAUACCCUGGUAGUCCACGCCCUAAACGAUGUCAACUAGUUGUUGGGAUUCAUUCCUUAGUAACGUAGCUAACGCGUGAAGUUGACCGCCUGGGGAGUACGGUCGCAAGAUUAAAACUCAAAGGAAUUGACGGGGU